AAUAAAUCAAAAAUUCGGAGUAGCACAACCCGACAACAUAACAAUUUGUCCCUACAAAUUAUAUAAAUUAGGUUUGGUGUUGGGAGAGGAUCUUGCCUGUACAACCAUCAGCUCCUCCUCAACAUGAUGGUGACAUGUUACUUCCAUAUGCUAGGCGUUGGACGCGUGAAAUUGAUAGGGAUACCGAGUCACAUCAUGUUCUUAUCCCGAUUAGAGACCAGUUAGACCGCAUGACGGAGGAUCAGGUACAUAAAAUAAAUUUCAUUAUAUAUGAUUGCUAAAUAUUAAAUAAAAUAAUACACAUAUAAUAAUAAAUAUACAACAAAAAAUGAUAUUUUGCUGACUCUAGUAGUCCACAUGAAUUGGACUAUAAAUAGUUUUACUAUUUUAUUUUAUUUAAAAUAAAUAAAUAAAAUUGCAGCAUUAAGCUAGCCAAA